UAGGGAAUCUUCGGCAAUGGACGAAAGUCUGACCGAGCAACGCCGCGUGAGUGAAGAAGGUCUUCGGAUCGUAAAACUCUGUUGGUAGAGAAGAACGUUGGUGAGAGUGGAAAGCUCAUCAAGUGACGGUAACUACCCAGAAAGGGACGGCUAACUACGUACCAG
rnacentral:rRNA from 1 species